UAUGCUGAAAAGACGCUAAUCACGGAGUGAACAGCUGAGGCUACACACGGACCGGUCUUUGGGAAGAGUGCCUAGAUGGACUCUCAGUGACUCUGGGGACUUAUGUGGGUGCCUCAAGGCAGGAUUCUAAAAGACCUAUGCCGGAGGGAAAGGAAACCUCCAGCGAGACCCUGAUAGCUUAACCAGACAACACGUAACAACCACUGGAGCCUUAGCUGGAAACAGCUGGGCUCGGCCUUCCAGAAUCUUCUAUCAUAAAAUGUCCAGGGAGACCACGGAUAUUAUUAUUCCAUUAUGUGCUUCUACAAGUUCUUCCUACCUCACAUUUGCUUUGUGGCAUUUGUUCCAUUUACAUGUGAAGGAAGAAGAAAGGAGGCACCGAUUCAUCACAGAAACACCUAAGCUGUAGGUGCUUCAUGUAUUACUAAAAGGCUGCUCUCGUGGAAGACUUAGAUGGUGGGCAGCACAGAGAUGCUUUUCCACAUGGUCUGCUCUGUGGGCGGGUGUCU
rnacentral:lncRNA from 1 species